GAACAUGACGACUAUCAGACAUGGUCUCCUCAGCUUGUUGGUGUUUACACUCUGGAUAAAAGGUCUAACUGAUGGAAGUGAUGUCUAUCAGACCCCCAUCCUGUGGAAAGAUAAGGGUGAUGCUGCAACCAUGCACUGUAACCACACUAAAGGUGCUGCUUAUUACCAGAUGUACUGGUACAGACAACUGCCGGGAAAAAUGAUGGAAUUAAUCGUGUUCACAACUACAGCCAAACAGGAUCAUGACUUUGGAGAUUUCAGCAAAGACAAAUAUUCAGCCACAAAGACUGAACCUGAGAGAGGAACGUUCACUGUGAAGAACCUGCAGCCAGAAGAUAAAGGCUUGUACUUCUGUACUGUGAGUGAACACAGUGAUGCAGGUGACUGA